rnacentral:misc_RNA from 1 species
AACGCACAUUGCGCCCCCUGGUAUUCCGGGGGGCACGCCCGUCCGAGUGUCAUUUCUACCUCGAGCUUCAGGCUUGUUGUUGGGUACCGCCCGUGAGGGCGCACUUCAAAUCUAUUGGCGCCUCUGAGGGCCCCCAAACGCACAGAGCUUAACCGCCCGCGUUUGGAGGCCUGAUAGGGGGUGGCCUCUUUGCCUGCGUGCAGCUUCCUAGCGUAUGGCCUCGGAUCGGGCGGGGUUACCCGCUGAACUUAA